UUUCCUCCCUUGCAUCCGCACGGUUGCAAGGGGGACCCCGAAGCAUUCGUCGCGUCCCUGACAAGCCUCGUGUUUUCGUCGGGGCUGUCACGGUGCGUGGAUGUCUGCUAGUCCCUCUCGGAUGCGGAAGAGUCGCGACGGGCGCGGGGGCGUCUCGCCUCCGAACGGUCCCGAUCCAUUGUCCCUUUUUGCGGAUGACGAUUGCGGCCGCACGCGCCUCUGGCAAUCACGCCGGCAAGGUUGCGUGCGGGGCUCGCGACGUCCCGAAGG
rnacentral:misc_RNA from 1 species